AGCUGGGGGUGGCCGCAGAGACCAGCGAGAAGCGACUGUUUACUAAAAACACAGGUCCGUGCGAAGCCGUAAGGCGAUGUAUACGGACUGACGCCUGCCCGGUGCUGGAACGUUAAGGGGACCGGUUAGCUCAGAUUCGUCUGGGCGAAGCUGAGAACUUAAGCGCCAGUAAACGGCGGUGGUAACUAUAACCAUCCUAAGGUAGCGAAAUUCCUUGUCGGGUAAGUUCCGACCUGCACGAAUGGCGUAACGACUUCUCGACUGUCUCAACCAUAGGCCCGGUGAAAUUGCACUACGAGUAAAGAUGCUCGUUUCGCGCAGCAGGACGGAAAGACCCCGGGACCUUUACUACAGUUUGAUAUUGGUGUUCGGUUCGGCUUGUGUAGGAUAGCUGGGAGACUUUGAAGCUCGCACGCCAGUGUGGGUGGAGUCGUCGUUGAAAUACCAGUCUGGUCGUGCUGGAUGUCUAACCUGGGUCCGUGAUCCGGAUCAGGGACAGUGUCUGAUGGGUAGUUUAACUGGGGCGGUUGCCUCCUAAAGAGUAACGGAGGCGCCCAAAGGUUCCCUCAGCCUGGUUGGCAAUCAGGUGUUGAGUGUAAGUGCACAAGGGAGCUUGACUGUGAGACCGACGGGUCGAGCAGGGACGAAAGUCGGGACUAGUGAUCCGGCGGUGGCUUGUGGAAGCGCCGUCGCUCAACGGAUAAAAGGUACCCCGGGGAUAACAGGCUGAUCUUCCCCAAGAGUCCAUAUCGACGGGAUGGUUUGGCACCUCGAUGUCGGCUCGUCGCAUCCUGGGGCUGGAGUCGGUCCCAAGGGUUGGGCUGUUCGCCCAUUAAAGCGGUACGCGAGCUGGGUUUAGAACGUCGUGAGACAGUUCGGUCCCUAUCCGCUGUGCGCGUAGGAGUCUUGAGAAGGGCUGUCCCUAGUACGAGAGGACCGGGACGGACGAACCUCUGGUGUGCCAGUUGUCCUGCCAAGGGCAUGGCUGGUUGGCUACGUUCGGGAGGGAUAACCGCUGAAAGCAUCUAAGCGGGAAGCCUGCUUCGAGAUGAGGACUCCCACCCCCUUGAGGGGUUAAGGCUCCCAGUAGACGACUGGGUUGAUAGGCCGGAUCUGGAAGCACCGCAAGGUGUGGAGGUGACCGGUACUAAUAGGCCGAGGGCUUGUCCUC
rnacentral:rRNA from 1 species